UCAGCAAUACUGGGAAAUGUCAAGGUCAUGCAAAACCACCGUCCUAUGCAUGACUCCUCAAGGAAGUAACGUGGGUCAAGAAUGGGGUCACAUGCAUUCUCUCAUACCCGCUGCUGUCUCUGCAAAGGUGCAUCACCACUGCCUGGGUGUGGAAACUCCCCUUGCACACAGAUUGUGAGCACUGAAGGAAACCUUUCUAAGAACUACUUAGAUUUAAGAUGGAGAAACUGCAGCCAGGUCUUUGAAACUUCUGCAGCCUCUGUGACACCCAGUCCUGCUCCAGUUCUCCAUGCCAGCAGCAGCUGA
rnacentral:lncRNA from 1 species